CUUGAUAAAUACGCGACACAACCAGCUGCACUGUGGUGACAUUUCUUUUUAUUUGGACACUGAUAUGUACAGUGAAAUGUCGGU
rnacentral:lncRNA from 1 species